GUUGCAUGUAUAAACCUUCAUAUUAACAGAAGAAAAUGGAUGUACGAGUUAUGGAGAAUUAUAGUAUUAAAUAUCAAGGGAUAUUGUGGAGCAUUAUUAUAUAUGUUAGUGGACAUAAAUAUUUGUCUGGAUUAUUGGUGAUGGUGGAAGACAAUGGGAUAAUGGAUAUAAGUUCCUCAUAAAUCUCAAGAAUGUCAAGCAACUAUAAAUAGCUCAUAUUCUGCAACAAUUUAUAACCACUUUUUCUAUAUAAAUUAUAACUCAUUUGGCAAGGCCUUCAAAAAGUAAUCAACACUAAGAAAUUUGCUAAAAGAACUUUUGGAAAAAGAUGAAAAGUUGACCUAAGGCCGCUUCUUCAGGAAGCUCUUCUACAAGUAAGAGCAUAAGCAAAAGAUGUACCAAACAAACCCUAUGUCAUAUUCUCUACUAAUAUAUAAUAAAGCUUUGAGUUCAUAUCGAAUUAGGCAAUUUGGGUUGUUGUAAUAAUUGAGUUUAUUUUUUGAGAUACUGGCUAGGCUGUCUUGAAAUAAUAAUGAAAUAAAAAAAGAAUUCUUAUGAACAUCUUUUAAAGAAUCAGAAUAUUUUUCAAUCUCAGGAUUUCUCAUGUGCUUAUUAUCUCCAAACAACAUCCUUUUAUUUUUGAAAUAUAUCGAGGUUAUUUGUAGGCCACUUACUCCAUUCCAAACAUUGUGAUAUUUUAUAUUUGUAAUAAAUGCAUACAGAAGAUGAUCACAUGAUGUUUUAUUAUCUACUUGCAAUUCAAGAUUUGCGAGGUCACAUGUUGAAAUAUUUGUAAUGUAUGCAUAUAGAAGAUGAUCAUAUGGUAUUUUAUUAUCUAGUUGCAAUUUAAGAUUACAUGUUGAAAUAUUCAAUUACAAAUGAACAUCUAGUGGCCCAUGGUGAGUUCAAAUCAAUUAGAAUAAUGUAUGACUUGCCAUUUUAAACACCAAUUUUUUUCUCCCAAAAGUGGACACUUUUUU
rnacentral:lncRNA from 1 species